UUAUGGCCAUAUCACGUUGAAACCCCGGUUUUCGUACGAUCACCGAAGUUAAGCAACGUCGAGCAUGGUCAGUACCUAGAUGGGUGACCGCUUGGGAAUACCAGGUGCUGUU